CUAUCAUGCAAGUCGUACGCACGCGCUUCGGCGCGUGAGUGGCGCACGGCUGAGUAACACGUGGGAACCCGCCCUCCGGUGGGGGAUAACGCGACGAAAGUCGCGCUAAUCCCGCAUACGUCCGCAAGGGGAAGCGCUUCGGCGCGCCGGAGGAGGGGCCUGCGGCCCAUCAGGUGGUUGGUGGGGUAACGGCCUACCAAGCCGAUGACGGGUAGCUGGUCUGGGAGGAUGACCAGCCAGACUGGGACUGAGACACGGCCCAGACUCCUACGGGAGGCAGCAGCAAGGAAUUUUCGGCAAUGGGCGCAAGCCUGACCGAGCAACGCCGCGUGCGGGAUGACGGCCUUCGGGUUGUAAACCGCUUUUCGGGGGGACGACUACGACGGUACCCCCGGAAGAAGCCCCGGCUAACUCUGUGCCAGCAGCCGCGGUAAGACAGAGGGGGCGAGCGUUGUCCGGAGUUACUGGGCGUAAAGCGCGCGCAGGCGGUGGUCUCAGUGUCGUGUGAAAGCCCCCGGCUCAACCGGGGGAGGUCAUGGCAAACUA
rnacentral:rRNA from 1 species